GAGUUUGAUCAUGGCUCAGGACGAACGCUGGCGGCGUGCCUAAUACAUGCAAGUCGAGCGGACAGAUGGGAGCUUGCUCCCUGAUGUUAGCGGCGGACGGGUGAGUAACACGUGGGUAACCUGCCUGUAAGACUGGGAUAACUCCGGGAAACCGGGGCUAAUACCGGAUGCUUGUUUGAACCGCAUGGUUCAAAUAUAAAAGGUGGCUUUUAGCUACCACUUACAGAUGGACCCGCGGCGCAUUAGCUAGUUGGUGAGGUAACGGCUCACCAAGGCAACGAUGCGUAGCCGACCUGAGAGGGUGAUCGGCCACACUGGGACUGAGACACGGCCCAGACUCCUACGGGAGGCAGCAGUAGGGAAUCUUCCGCAAUGGACGAAAGUCUGACGGAGCAACGCCGCGUGAGUGAUGAAGGUUUUCGGAUCGUAAAACUCUGUUGUUAGGGAAGAACAAGUACCGUUCGAAUAGGGCGGUACCUUGACGGUACCUGACCAGAAAGCCACGGCUAACUACGUGCCAGCAGCCGCGGUAAUACGUAGGUGGCAAGCGUUGUCCGGAAUUAUUGGGCGUAAAGCGCGCGCAGGCGGUUUCUUAAGUCUGAUGUGAAAGCCCCCGGCUCAACCGGGGAGGGUCAUUGGAAACUGGGGAACUUGAGUGCAGAAGAGGAGAGUGGAAUUCCACGUGUAGCGGUGAAAUGCGUAGAGAUGUGGAGGAACACCAGUGGCGAAGGCGACU
rnacentral:rRNA from 1 species